CCAAUAGCGUAUAUUAAAGUUGUUGCAGUUAAAAAGCUCGUAGUUGAAUUUCGGGAUCAGUACGCCGGUCGUGCCUCCGGUAUGUACUGGUGUCACUGAUUCCUCCCUUCUGAAGAACCAUCAUGCCAUUCAUUUGGUGUGGUGGGGAAUCAGGACUGUUACUUUGAAAAAAUUAGAGUGUUUAAAGCAGGCUCACGCUUGAAUACAUUAGCAUGGAAUAAUGAAAUAGGACGUUGAUCUUAUUUUGUUGGUUUCUAGGAUUGACGUAAUGAUUAAUAGGGAUAGUUGGGGGCAUUAGUAUUCAAUUGUCAGAGGUGAAAUUCUUGGAUUUAUUGAAGACUAACUACUGCGAAAGCAUUUGCCAAGGAUGUUUUCAUUAAUCAAGAACGAAAGUUAGGGGAUCGAAGACGAUCAGAUACCGUCGUAGUCUUAACCAUAAACUAUGCCGACUAGGGAUCGGAUGAUGUUAUUUUUAAUGACUCAUUCGGCGCCUUACG
rnacentral:rRNA from 1 species